GUGCGCCUAUUGUAUCUGGAGGAUCCUCGUUUGCUGUUACUGAGCUCGGUGCUGGAAGGAAAUGCAGCAGAGAGGAGGUAGGAUGCGGAUCCUGACGGCGAGCGACGGGUUCAGGUUGGCUUCGCAUUGGUGGACAGAGACGGUGGUCUGAGGCUGCAGAAGUGAGCUUGACAAGGGGAGUCUCGGUGCUGGAGCUUAAGGUAUGCAAAGCGUUGAGGAGGGGAUGACCAGUGCUGCAGACGGGAAGAAGAAGGCAGUCGGCUGGCAGGAUGCAGCUUUUACUUCGAAUCUUUAAUCUUGAGAAGGCAGAGCUUGACGCCAGGAUCUUCACGAAACUUUUAGAGCCAUGGUAGCAGGACGUGGGUGUACUUGGGCAAGAGACUGCAGCGUGGUUUUGCUGUGUAGUGUCUUUUGAUCACAGUUUUCCCUCGGUGGUGCGCUGCCGUGUGGUGUUGUGCAAGAGACUGCAGUGAGGCUUCGCUGUGUAGUGCCUUUUGGUCACAGUUUUCCCUUAGUGGUGACGUCGCUGUGCACAUUAACCUUGCUGCUUGCCAUGGGCUCUUUGCCGCUGCUGCUUGGAGCUUGUUCCAAUGCAUCACCUUUACCUUAUGGGGUUGUGCAAAAGACUGCAGCAAGUUUAUAUUGUGUAGUGCCCUUUUGGUCACAACUUUCCUCGGUAGGGGACGUUGCCGUGCACAUUGACCUUGCUGCUUGCCAUGGGCUCUUUGCCGCUGCUGCUUGGAGCUUGUUCCAAUGCGUCACCUUUACCUUGUGGGAUUGUGCAAAAGACUGCAGCGAGUUUAUGCUGUGUAGUGCCUUUUGGUCACAACUUUCCUCGGUGGUGACGUUGGCGUAAUGCUCACCUUUGUAAUACGGCUUUGUAACCAAAUCAUUCCUUUAAAGAAAUAAAGUAUUCAUAUUUUGAAUUUGCUUUUUA